AAGUGAAUACAUAGCUUAAUGAAGGUAACCCAGGGAACUGAAACAUCUAAGUACCUGGAGGAAGAGAAAGAAAAAUCGAUUUUCUUAGUAGCGGCGAGCGAAAGGGAAAGAGCCCAAACCGGAAACUUGUUUCCGGGGUUGUGGACAUGACAUAAAAGUGGAGGCUAUUGUAACUGAAGAGAACUGGAAAGUUCCACCGUAGAAGGUAAUAGUCCUGUAAGUGAAACGAGAAGACCACGAGUUAUGAUCCAGAGUACCACGAGACACGUGAAACCUUGUGGGAAGCAGGGAGGACCACCUCCCAAGGCUAAAUACUACCUGAUGACCGAUAGUGAAGCAGUACCGUGAGGGAAAGGUGAAAAGAACCCCGGGAGGGGAGUGAAAUA
rnacentral:rRNA from 1 species